AACGAACGCUGGCGGCAGGCUUAACACAUGCAAGUCGAGCGCCCCGCAAGGGGAGCGGCAGACGGGUGAGUAACGCGUGGGAACGUACCUUUUGGUUCGGAACAACUCCGGGAAACUGGAGCUAAUACCGGAUAAGCCCUAACGGGGAAAGAUUUAUCGCCGAAAGAUCGGCCCGCGUCUGAUUAGCUAGUUGGUGAGGUAACGGCUCACCAAGGCGACGAUCAGUAGCUGGUCUGAGAGGAUGAUCAGCCACACUGGGACUGAGACACGGCCCAGACUCCUACGGGAGGCAGCAGUGGGGAAUAUUGGACAAUGGGCGCAAGCCUGAUCCAGCCAUGCCGCGUGAGUGAUGAAAGCCUUAGGGUUGUAAAGCUCUUUUGUCCGGGAAGAUAAUGACUGUACCGGAAGAAUAAGCCCCGGCUAACUUCGUG
rnacentral:rRNA from 1 species